rnacentral:rRNA from 1 species
GACAGAGGUCCCGAGCGUUAGGCGGAAUCACUGGGCUUAAAGCGUGUGUAGGCGGAUGCCUAAGUACCGUGUGAAAUCCCACGGCUCACCCGUGGAACUGCUUGGUAUACUGGGUGUCUUGAGCCACUUAGGGGCUACCGGAACAAAUGGUGGAGCGGUGAAAUGCGUAGAUAUCAUUUGGAACGCCAAUGGUGAAAACAGGUAGCUGGGAGUGUGCUGACGCUGAGACACGAAAGCCAGGGGAGCAAACGGG